rnacentral:rRNA from 1 species
UGGGGGAUAUUGCACAAUGGAGGAAACUCUGAUGCAGCAACGCCGCGUGAGGGAAGAAGGUUUUCGGAUUGUAAACCUCUGUUUUUAGUGAAGAAACAAAUGACGGUAGCUAAAGAGGAAGCCACGGCUAACUACGUGCCAGCAGCCGCGGUAAUACGUAGGUGGCAAGCGUUGUCCGGAAUUACUGGGUGUAAAGGGUGCGCAGGCGGGACUGUAAGUUGGAUGUGAAAUACCGAGGCUUAACCUCGGAGCUGCAUCCAAAACUGCGGUUCUUGAGUGGAGUAGAGGUAAGCGGAAUUCCGAGUGUAGCGGUGAAAUGCGUAGAUAUUCGGAGGAACACCAGUGGCGAAGGCGGCUUACUGGGCUCUAACUGACGCUGAGGCACGAAAGCAUGGGUAGCAAACAGG